rnacentral:rRNA from 1 species
AUGGAAGGGCCAUCGCUCAACGGAUAAAAGGUACUCCGGGGAUAACAGGCUGAUACCGCCCAAGAGUUCAUAUCGACGGCGGUGUUUGGCACCUCGAUGUCGGCUCAUCACAUCCUGGGGCUGAAGUAGGUCCCAAGGGUAUGGCUGUUCGCCAUUUAAAGUGGUACGCGAGCUGGGUUUAGAACGUCGUGAGACAGUUCGGUCCCUAUCUGCCGUGGGCGCUGGAGAACUGAGGGGGGCUGCUCCUAGUACGAGAGGACCGGAGUGGACGCAUCACUGGUGUUCGGGUUGUCAUGCCAAUGGCACUGCCCGGUAGCUAAAUGCGGAAGAGAUAAGUGCUGAAAGCAUCUAAGCACGAAACUUGCCCCGAGAUGAGUUCUCCCUGACUCCUUGAGAGUCCUGAAGGAACGUUGAAGACGACGACGUUGAUAGGCCGGGUGUGUAAGCGCAGCGAUGCGUUGAGCUAACCGGUACUAAUGAACCGUGAGG